AAGGUAGCAUGGUAAGUUGCCCCUUAAUGGGGGGCUGGUACGAAAGGAUUUAUGAGUCCUCUACUGUCUCCGAAAUAUAGUGUAAAUUAGGCUUCAAGUGAAGACACUUGGAUGUGGCUAAAGGACAAGAAGACCCCGUUGAGCUUUAGUUUGAUAUUGCAUUUGGGCGGUAGUGAGCUUUGGCUGGGGCGGCAAAUGUCCAUCUAGAGCGACUAAAGAUUGUGAGACAUUUUGUCGGGCGGGGAGAUUGUGUAAACAAAGAAAGCUACCACGGGGGUAACAGGCUAAUCCACUUGGAGAGUACAUAUUGAUGAGUGGGUUUGGCACCUCGAUGUUGGCUCAAGGUUUCCCGCAGGCGCAGGUGUUUGUGAAGGUAGGUAUGUUCGCCCUUUAAAGCCUUACGUGAUCUGAGUUCAGACCGGA
rnacentral:rRNA from 1 species